CGCGACCCCUACUUGUUAGUUGCCAUCAUUCAGUUGGGCACUCUAGCGAGACUGCCGGUAAUAAACCGGAGGAAGGUGGGGAUGACGUCAAAUCAUCAUGCCCCUUAUGACCUGGGCUACACACGUGCUACAAUGGUUGGUACAACGAGUUGCGAGUCGGUGACGGCGAGCUAAUCUCUUAAAGCCAAUCUCAGUUCGGAUUGUAGGCUGCAACUCGCCUACAUGAAGUCGGAAUCGCUAGUAAUCGCGGAUCAGCACGCCGCGGUGAAUACGUUCCCGGGCCUU
rnacentral:rRNA from 1 species